rnacentral:rRNA from 1 species
UUAAAGUAGUAAUAGUUAUGUUCUUGAAACUUAAAAAAUUUGGCGGUAUUUUAGUCUAUUCAGAGGAACCUGUCCUAUAAUCGAUAAUCCACGUUGGACCUCACUUAAGUUUGUAAAUCAGUUUGUAUACCGUCGUUAUAAGAAUAUUUUAUUAGAAUAAUAAUUUUCUAGAAUUUUUAUAAAAAUUUAUAUCAGAUCAAGGUGCAGCUUAUAUUUAAGAAGAGAUGGGUUACAAUAAAUUUAUUUAUACGGAUUAAUUUUUGAAAUAAAAUUAUGAAGGUGGAUUUGAAUGUAAAAUUAUAAAGAUUAAUAAUUUGAUUUUAGCUCUAAAAUAUGUACAUAUCGCCCGUCACUCUUAUUAUUAAGGUAAGAUAAGUCGUAACAUAGUAGAUGUACUGGAAAGUGUAUCUAGAAUGCAAUUUAAAGCUUAAAUAGUAAAGCAUUUCAUUUCCCUUGAAAAGAUUUUUGUGCAAAUCAAUAUAAAUUGAUUAGAUUUUAUUUAUUAAUUUAUUUAUUUUUUUUUAWUUUGGAUUAGAAAUAACCAUAAAAAAAAUUGUUUUAGUAUUUUAUAAAGAAUAAAUAAUAUUUAUAAUAGUAUAUUAGUAUUGUGAAAGAAAAUUGAAAUAAUUUGAAAAA